GACGAACGCUGGCGGCGCGCUUAACACAUGCAAGUCGAACGGAAAGGCCUGCUUUCCCUUGUGGAUUGCGGGUACUCGAGUGGCGAACGGGUGAGUAACACGUGAGUGAUCUGCCCCCAACUUGGGUAUAAGCCUGGGAAACUGGGUCUAAUUCCCGAUAGGACUGCAGGGUGGUGCCUGUGGUGGAAAACGAUUUUCUAGUGGUUGGGGAUGAGCUCGCGGCCUAGCAGCUUGUGGGUGGGGUAAUGGCCUACCAAGGCGGCGACGGGUAGCCGGCCUGAGAGGGUGAACGGCCACAUUGGGACUGAGAUACGGCCCAGACUCCUACGGGAGGCAGCAGUGGGGAAUAGUGCACAAUGGGCGGAAGCCUGAUGCAGCGACGCCGCGUGGGGGAUGACGGCCUUCGGGUUGUAAACUCCUUUCGACCGCGAGGAAGCCACCUGGUUGGAAGGGUGGUGACGGUAGUGGUAGAAGAAGCACCGGCUAACUACGUG
rnacentral:rRNA from 1 species